AUCAAACCACCCGAAGCCCCCUCUCACACCUACAAACCGUGCUAAUGUGGAGUGCACUCACUCCCCAUAUCUAUAUCCGGUGUCGUCUCCGAUCCAUCCACAUGACGUAUCGGAACUCACAGCCGGUGCAGCAGACCUAAAGCGUACACCACAUGCACACGUUUUAGAAGCUGCCAUCAUCAUCGGACCGUUGAACCAUCUUCAGGAUAGAGAUCCGCAUAAUCCUUGUCAGUCCGGCCAUCCGUCGACGCCACCACGGC
rnacentral:lncRNA from 1 species